GGGUCAGUAGGUUGGUCGUGCCACCGGUACGUACUGGUCUCACUGAUUCCUCCUUCCUGAAGAACCGUAAUGCCAUUAAUUUGGUGUUGCGGAGAAACAGGACUGUUACUUUGAAAAAAUUAGAGUGUUUAAAGCAAGCUAACGCUUGAAUACAUUAGCAUGGAAUAAUGAAAUAGGACGAUCGAUCCUAUUUUGUUGGUUUCUAGGAUUGACAUA
rnacentral:rRNA from 1 species